CAAAAAUACAGUAAAUGUAAUCCCUUAUGUAACCGUGGUUAGUUAAACCCCAGGUUAUUUCUAAUUCGUUCUAAUAAGAAUUUAGCUGCAGAUGUGUUUUUGUUAUAAAUGUCUCCCUAAUUUAAAAUUAUCAAUGUAUUAUUUUCCAUGAGAAGAAAGCACCAAAAGUAGUUUCUCCUAAACUUAAGUUAAAUUAUAACUUGUAUAUGUGUUACUGUACCUUUAAUUGAACAGGCAGUUGUUAGGUGUUUUUUCCAGAGUGCAAAAACCGAUAGUAGUGUUCAUCUUACCUGGGUACCAAUCUCUGCGCAUUCCCCUCGACUGAUGCGUGGUGUGUGUGGAUGAGAAAAGUAGGUCAGAAGUCAGAAAACUGACUGAUAAGUUCAACACGGAUGUAGGAGAGGCGAUUGAUGAGCUGCGAUUUCAAGUAGGAUGCGGUAGAACUGGUUAGAGUUGUAAACAAUUGAUUUCCCGGCUGGUUUUUUUCAAUUGGGUCCUCAGUCCUUGGUUCCUCCACCAUCUUCUGCUGUCAUCCAUCUGCAUCUCCAUCCUGGUUGCUACUCACCUUUGGAAAAGGGAUCAUCCACGUCUACAUCUCCAUAUCUUUACCAUUGCAAUACUCACCAUGGACAUUCGCUGUGGAAGAGGGUGGUAGGACUUUGAGUUCACUCAUAUUUUCCCUCACUCUUUUAUUUUUUUAAAUUUCAUUUUAUUCAUUUGAACUUUCGGGACAAUUUCUUAUUUCAUGCCUGAGAUCUCAGAGGCUUUUUUUAAAUUUAAUUUUGGUCCAAAAUAUAAAAAUCAACAAAGGUACUUAAAAUAACUGUGGAUUGUGAAUCCAACUUUGAGUUGAUGAUAUAGAUACUGAAGUAUUAUAGUGGGGUAUUCACUUUAAUUUACUUACCUUGUUGAGAUACUGCAUUGUGAAGGAUUUAUGAUUUACUCAGCUCAAUAUACUUCCCAUAAAAUUGUCUGUCUGUUGUUGUGUGUGUUAUUUGGGGUAGAUAUCACAGUUCUAAAUCAACAAUUAGGCAGGUGAAGCUCAGCAGUCUCCUCAUCGAAUCUAGAAUUAAAGUCAACCCUCAUUUUCCUAUUUGAUAUUUAGCACCAGUCUUCAGGUGACAGGUGCAGGUAGGGGUUACACUU
rnacentral:lncRNA from 1 species